rnacentral:rRNA from 1 species
AUUGAACGCUGGCGGCAUGCCUUACACAUGCAAGUCGAACGGUAACAGGUCUUCGGAUGCUGACGAGUGGCGAACGGGUGAGUAAUACAUCGGAACGUGCCCGAGAGUGGGGGAUAACGAGGCGAAAGCUUUGCUAAUACCGCAUACGAUCUCAGGAUGAAAGCAGGGGACCGCAAGGCCUUGCGCUCACGGAGCGGCCGAUGGCAGAUUAGGUAGGUGGUGGGAUAACGCUGACCAAGCCGACGAUCAGUAGCUGGUCGGAGAGGACGACUAGACACACUGGGACUGUGACACGGCCCAGACUCCUACGGGAGGCAGCAGUGGGGAAGUGUUGACAAUGGGCGCAAGCCUGAUCCAGCCAUGCCGCGUGCAGGAUGAAGGCCUUCGGGUUGUAAACUGCUUUUGUACGGAACGAAAAGACUCCUUCUAAUAAAGGGGGUCCAUGACGGUACCGUAAGAAUAAGCACCGGCUAACUACGUGCCAGCCGCCGCCGUAAGAC